AUCAUAAUUUUUAUUUUCUGCACGAUACUUACCUCUUGUAUCAGAAGAACGUAAUGUGCGAGUAGGUAUCAUAAUUUUUAUUUUCUGCUCGAUACUUACCUCUUGUAUCAGGAGAACGUAAUGUGUGAAUUGGCAUCAUAAUUUUUAUUUUUUACUCGAAACUUACCUUUUGUAUGAGGAGAUCACGAUGAACGAGGAGGUGGCACUAAUGAAAUUUGGCUCGUAUUUUACUUCUGAUAUUAUAAGAACAUGAUAUUCGAAGAGUUGGAAUAAAUUUUAAUUCUAGCUCAAAACGUACCUUUUGUAUCUGAGUCACAUGGACAAAGAAGAAGUGUACCAGGGAAAGAAGGGAAAUGAGGGGUACUUGCGGAAGGUAUUCUGAGUUGUUAGUUACACACAUCAAAAGUAAUAUUUUACCGCAACGGAACAUUAAUUUAUAAUAUUAUCUUAUUAAAUUAACAAAAUAAUAACAUUAUUCACUAUUACAAGUUCAUUAUUCAUUAAACAUCUCAUUAUAAAUUAUUAAUACAUGUAAUAUUAUACUUUAGUAAAUCAUCACGUAUGUAUUUAGGUUAAUGUAAAUUAUGAAAGAAAUAAAUGACUUACGAAAAUAAACUUGUAGUAUGAAUAAUUUUUAAUGAUAGAAUCACUUUCAACCUUUUUCAGGUCAGGAGCCCAAUAGCUUCCUCAGAUAAAUGCGUAUCACGCUUAUUAUUAGGUUUGCAUGGUAGUGGAUUGUUUUUGGAUGGCGUCUGUGGGCAAAUCGAGAGACGACACGAUUUCUCGAGAUGGCCAACCGCAAUGCACCGCGUUAGAUUUCGCGAGUCGAUAUACUCUAGGGUUCGAAAGGUCGACCGCCGUAUACGGACACGCGCUGGCACCGAGUCAUUUUCUCCAACGAUAUCCUCUGGUAAUUCUGUCCCUAUCUCCUGCUUUUUAUCUACCGCAAAGCUCACGGUUUAACAAGACUCCCACGCGCGUCACGCCACGAUUGGAGCACUCUAUCGAUUCUCGCAAGACAAUUUCGGUCAAAAUGGCACUGAUAUUGGGAUUCUACGACCCAACCAUUCGAGGGAUCCUGUUGAAAUUGGUACACGAUGUAGGUAACGCGAAAUCAUGGGUAAUUUAAGACAUCGUUUAGGCGGGGUCCAAUUUAUUUAAAAAAUACAGGACAUUGAAUUUUACAAUUUUUGCCUAGCCUGUCCCGAAAUUGACAUACGAAACAAACGAUGCUCCAUCUCGAAACGGUCCCCAAUCGGUCCCCAAUCGGUCCCCAAACGGUCCCCAAUCGGUCGAACAUGGCUCGCACAAGAGAAGGAAUUUGCAAUAUAUCUGCAACGACGUUCUUAUAAUUUCGUCAGCAAAUAGUUUCAUCUCAACCUCGGGCGUACUUGACCGAAUUACCAGGGUCUCCUUUACUACGGAAGCGGGCGCCCUCGAAGAAAGAACUUCCUCCUCUGCCGACCAAUUCGACCUUUGCCCGUUCACCGACUAUACGAUUCGCGAAAUCAGAACCUCUGCCCCAAGGUCGAAAAAAAAACGAAAAAUAUUCCUGAAAAUAUCCGCGAUAUAUUCUUUGAAAGAUUUCAUGCACGUUGCGACCAAGACUUAGGGACCCAUUUAAGCCACUGCAAUGGGAAACGAUUAUAUUGGCGAAAAUGACUCGGUGAUCCACUGCAAGGUGUCUCGAACGUCUCGCGGAACGUCCAGCGAGGCUAACUAUUGUAUCAAAUAUCGACUUCGCGAUCGUUCGAGCAGACCUCGGAGCGAGUUUCGAUCGCCAACGUGCUCUCGAACAAUGAUUCACGGGGCCCAGAACGACCAUAGAUCUUGCAUUCGGCGUUUCUUAUUAAGGCAACCAAGCCAAGGCUCCGAGCGCUCGAGCCAAUUACCGUGGAGUCGCUCGUUUCGAGUAACAGACCGCUCGAACACCUACGUCUCUCCAAUCUAUCCACGUCUUGGCGAAAUGUCGGAACCGAAAUAGAAAAAUUCCUACGUAAUUGAGACUCUUCGAGAGACAAAUGAAGAGUUGGGAAAAGACAGUGAACGACCGAGGAUCGUCGCAUGCACGAUUAGAUGCGACUUUACGUCGCGUCGUCUCGAACGUAGAGAAAGACAGCGAAUAAAAGAAGAGGACAGAGCGAAAACACCAGGCCGAAAUUUGUAUCCCGUUGUAUGGUGAAAAAUGCUGUGAGGCAAUGAAAUGGAUGAGUAGUAAUAGAAUAAAUAUGUCCCGUUACACAGCUUGAAAAGAACAGCAAAUAAAGAAGAGGACGCACAAUGUGAUAUUUCAGCGAUCAAGCGGGACAAAACUAAUAUGGUCCAAUAUUUCGGAACCUAUUAGGUCGUCCACACACGAAGCUGCUCAAAAGAAACGUAAUUGGUUGUUGACUGAAGUCACAAACUGUAGUUACGUAUCGGCAAGAAUUUCACCCAUCUUUUGCAUCGGGACGCUAAGUUCGCAGUGCAGGCACGGCAAUGUUCGAGUAUUGAUUUUCAGCGAGUUGGAUGUACCAAAGGAUGUAUCAGAAUGUCAUCGAUUACGUACC